ensembl:lncRNA
GCGCGCCAAUCCAACGAAGGAGGCGGGAAACGGCGAGCCAAUCCCAGCGCAAGAGGGCGGGGUUUUAGUGAAAAAACGGGUAGGGAAAAAAGUACCUCGUGACCUGUUGUGAUGCAAAUAAGCUGCCAAAACGAGAGAGCUAUCGCCAACUUUGUACAGCUCGUUUCUGUAAAUAUGUGUUAGUAAUACUGGAGUGUAACAUGGCGGCGUUUCCAUUCAUUUAGGUUCAUCUCAGGACGAAUUAUUUUAACCUCCAGCAAUGAGAAGCGGGCGGUGAGUAUAGUGUAUACUGUGUGUUUGGCCUCGCGCCUGUCAAAUAGCGAUACUGACUUCACGUUCAUUUCACUCUGAGUAAUGGGAUUUAUCUCACCUGGCGCUUCAUGUCAAAUAAUUAUCAGAGUUUACGUUCAAAGUCUUGAUUUUACUAAAGGAAUAAGAUAAAAGAAUACACCGGAGUUACUUCGUAAGACAAUGAAACUGUUCCGUUGUUAGCGAGGUGCUAAUUUUAUUGUCCUUUCCAGAUAUCGCGAUACCACACGGUAUCACUGAUUGAAGCUCAGUGUACAACAGAUAUCGCGAUACUAACACGGAAUGUCUGACUGACAGAUGUGCUGCUAUUUAACAAUAGUUUUUUAAAGAUAAAAUACGUGUGAAAUUAGGGAUCUUUUUAGUCUGUGAAGAAUAAACAUACUUGUGAAUGUACCUAAAAAUGUUUUGCUGAAUGUCGCUGAAGAGUAGGAAAUAUCGCUGAAGAGUAAGGGAAUGUUGUUGAAAGUGUACUGAAAGUGUAAGGAAUACCCAACUGGACAGACUAUUACUCAUAUGUGUGGACUACUGAAUGUAGGGAGUACACUCACAUGCACAGAGUACUGACGUGUACUGAAUACUGAGUACUGAUGUGUGUGGAGUACUAAAUAUCGGCAGUACUGGCGUGUGCAUAGUACUGAUGUGCAGAAUACUGAAUCAUAUGGAGUACUGAUGUGGGCAGAAUACUGAAUGUAGGGAGUACAGAUGUGUGUGGAGUACUGAAUGUAGGGAGUACAGAUGUGUGUGUGGAGUACUGAAUGUAGGGAGUACAGAUGUAUGUGUGUGGAGUACUGAAUGUAGGGAGUACAGAUGUGGGGAGUACAGAUGUGUGUGGAGUACUGAAUGUAGGGAGUACAGAUGUGUGGAGUACAGAUGUGUGUGGAGUACUGAUGAUCAAGAUGAACAGCAGGAGUUCUGUUGCUUCAGGAGAGAGAGAGCUGAGAUAAAACCACUUUACACAUCAUCAGCACCAAACAUCACACGUCCCACCUCCACACAGAACAGAACGUAGCUUCACCGCUGUUUAGUAACGAGCAGCGUGGUUGUGUGUGUUGUGUUUGAGAGCUCUCGCUGGAGCUUCUUAUCUCCUUAUUCCGCUGCAUUCUGAACACGCAGCAGGACAGAAACAUGCUACAACACGCAGGUCCGAUCUCCACGGUGCGAGUCGUGUGGCGUAGCGCUCGGCUGUUUCUCAGGCGACGGGAAUCAAAUGAUCAACCAGCGUGGAGGGUUUCACUCAGGUCCUUCACUGUAGCUUUUGGUUUUACAGAAAAUCCGUCAAAGCCUCAGAGUGAAAUCCACACCGACCUCACUGAGGACGGACUAAACGUCUUUCUGAUUCAUCACAAUGUACAAUUUACAGCUUCUGUUCGUCUCUCACGGUUCUGUUCGUCUCUCACGGUUCUGUUCGUCUCUCACGGUUCUGUUCUGGGGACGUUUCAGUCCCGAUCCCUGUCCUACAUCCUGUAUCUGUGUCUCAUCAGAAUAGAGGUGAACGUCAGCACCAUUUGUAUGACGUAUACGCCCAUAUAUGGAAAUGAAUGCAGAAUAAUAGUGGGCCUAUAUCAGAACCCUGAGGAACGCCCUGUUGUUCUUCUUUAUAUCUUUCUACUUAAACUACCAAACUGGUAACACUCUGUUUAAUCGACCCUGAAAAAGUCCUGCGUGUCGAGUAAAAUAUCUGUGUUAAACACUGCGUUCACAUGCAACAGAAUCAGAACGGAAAUACCUCCAACACAGAAAAAUCCCUGCUGUAACCUCAGGAAGCGCACAGGUUUCUCGUUCUUCCACAUACCUCAGGACGAACCUGAGACCACAGAUCACAAACAGUCAAAAAUAACUGAAGAUGAUGAAACUCCACAUGAGUCACAGUACUGAGUUUCAGAGAACACUCUGGUGCACGUCACGGGGAAACGCCAACUGAGGAAACUGAAAAGUCAGAAGGUCUGCAGAGCCUCCUGAUGGACGGAUCUGGUCUCGAUGUGAACUCCAGAGCCGUGGUUCCUCCGGCUGUAAUCUAAUGAAGUGAAUUAAGAAUUCUGUUUAAUUCCAUUUCCGUGAGUAAUCAUCUCUCCUCGUGUCUUCUUGCUCUCAGUCGUUUAUUUUUCCCCGUAUAUAUAUUUCAACACGAAGCUGAACAAUGGCAAAUAAAGAGGUUCCUCGUCCUACGUGGUGUCAGUCUGAGGGGAAAAAC